GAUGAACGCUGGCGGCGUGCCUAAUACAUGCAAGUCGAGCGGACGGACGAGACGCUUGCUUCUCUGAUGUUAGCGGCGGACGGGUGAGUAACACGUGGAUAACCUACCUAUAAGACUGGGAUAACUUCGGGAAACCGGAGCUAAUGCCGGAUAAUAUUUUGAACCGCAUGGUUCAACAGUGAAAGACGGUCUUGCUGUCACUAAUAGAUGGAUCCGCGCUGCAUUAGCUAGUUGGUAAGGUAACGGCUUACCAAGGCAACGAUGCAUAGCCGACCUGAGAGGGUGAUCGGCCACACUGGAACUGAGACACGGUCCAGACUCCUACGGGAGGCAGCAGUAGGGAAUCUUCCGCAAUGGGCGAAAGCCUGACGCAGCAACGCCGCGUGUGUGAUGAAGGUCUUCGGAUCGUAAAACUCUGUUAGUAGGGAGGAACAUAUGUGUAAGUAACUGUGCACAUCUUGACGUUACCUACUCAGAAAGCCCCGGCUAACUACGUG
rnacentral:rRNA from 1 species